rfam:Sporosarcina sp. P33, complete genome.
GAUACCUUUAAAGUCAGUCCAGAGAGGCUGGGAAGGUUGCACGGAAUUACAUGAUGGCCUGCUGCGGCAGGAAUCGAUGUAUGCUUUUUUCUGCACGUCUGCCCUCCGGUCUCUUCUGACCGGAGGGUUUUUUUAU